CCUGAUGCAGCAACGCCGCGUGAGGGAUGACGGCCUUCGGGUUGUAAACCUCUUUUAGUAGGGAAGAAGGGAGCUUGCUCUUGACGGUACCUGCAGAAAAAGCACCGGCUAACUACGUGCCAGCAGCCGCGGUAAUACGUAGGGUGCAAGCGUUGUCCGGAAUUAUUGGGCGUAAAGAGCUCGUAGGCGGUUUGUCGCGUCUGCUGUGAAAACCCGAGGCUCAACCUCGGGCCUGCAGUGGGUACGGGCAGACUAGAGUGCGGUAGGGGAGAAUGGAAUUCCUGGUGUAGCGGUGGAAUGCGCAGAUAUCAGGAGGAACACCGAUGGCGAAGGCAGUUCUCUGGGCCGUAACUGACGCUGAGGAGCGAAAGCGUGGGGAGCGAACAGGAUUAGAUACCCUGGUAGUCCACGCCGUAAACGUUGGGCGCUAGAUGUGGGGACCUUUCCACGGUUUCCGUGUCGCAGCUAACGCAUUAAGCGCCCCGCCUGGGGAGUACGGCCGCAAGGCUAAAACUCAAAGGAAUUGACGGGGGCCCGCACAAGCGGCGGAGCAUGCGGAUUAAUUCGAUGCAACGCGAAGAACCUUACCAAGGCUUGACAUAUACGAGAACGGGCCAGAAAUGGUCAACUCUUU
rnacentral:rRNA from 2 species